CCAUGGCAUGCAACAGCCCUGUAGGGAAGCCCACAGGAAUAGACUGAGCACAAAUUUCUGUCUGCCAACAGCUAUAGGAGUGAGCCUGGCAACAGAUUCCUCAGCCCCAAUCUGACCUUGAGAUGACUGCAGCUUUGGAAAAGACCUUGAGCCAUAGGUACCCUGCUAAGAGGUCUGGACUCCUGGCCCAUAGAAACUUGUUUUCCAUUGGCCCUCAUGGGUUGGCUACCAGGGCACCUGCCCAGCUGACCCACCCCUUCACUUGACUUUGAUUCCGAGGGGACCUGGAGUAUAGCACAGAGGAGCAGGCUGAGAGCUGAGAAGCAAAACCUCAGAACAGCAUUUUGUGAAGUCGCUCUACACUUUUGGAGAACAAGCUAUAAAAUAAGUGAGUGUCCAUAACUUGGAGACUGUGAUUCCAAACCAUCUCCUGGAAAAGUGCCUCCUUCAAAAGUACCCAGAUGACCUCUUCAGAUUCUUCAUAUUCCAUCUCCCAUCCUCUGCUAAGACAUCUGUUUUCAAUUUAAAAUAUUCACAUUUCAACAGCAUUUCCCCUCUCUUUCCUUUUGCAUUGCAAAAUUAUUCAAAACAGA